AGAGUUUGAUCCUGGCUCAGGAUGAACGCUAGCGGCAGGCUUAACACAUGCAAGUCGAGGGGCAGCGCGGGGCGGCAACGUCCUGGCGGCGACCGGCGGAAGGGUGCGUAACGCGUGAGCGACAUGCCCGUUGCCCGGGGACAACCGGUGGAAACGCCGACUAAUCCCCGAUGGGACGGAGGCCCUCAUGGGUCUCUGUUGAAAGUUACGGCGGCGACGGAUUGGCUCGCGUCCGAUUAGCUUGUUGGCGGGGUAACGGCCCACCAAGGCUACGAUCGGUAGGGGUUCUGAGAGGAAGGUCCCCCACAAUGGAACUGAGACACGGUCCAUACUCCUACGGGAGGCAGCAGUGAGGAAUAUUGGUCAAUGGGCGGAAGCCUGAACCAGCCAUGCCGCGUGCGGGAAGGAGGCCCUAUGGGCUGUGAACCGCUUUUGCCUGGGGGCAAUAAGGGCGUCGCGCACGUCCGAUGAGAGUACCAGGGGAAUAAGCAUCGGCUAACUCCGUGCCAGCAGCCGCGGUAAUACGGGGGAUGCGAGCGUUAUCCGGAUUCAUUGGGUUUAAAGGGUGCGUAGGCUGUGCGUCAAGUCAGGGGUGAAAUUCCGGGGCUCAACUCCGGGGCUGCCCUUGAUACUGUCGCGCUGGAGUGCGGAUGCCGCCGGAGGAAUGAGUGGUGUAGCGGUGAAAUGCUUAGAUAUCACUCAGAACACCGAUUGCGAAGGCAUCUGGCGAAUCCGUAACUGACGCUGAGGCACGAAAGCGUGGGGAUCGAACAGGAUUAGAUACCCUGGUAGUCCACGCAGUAAACGAUGAUGGCUAACUGUCGGGCCUAUUGGGUUCGGCGGCCAAGCGAAAGCGAUAAGCCAUCCACCUGGGGAGUACGACCGCAAGGUUGAAACUCAAAGGAAUUGACGGGGGCC
rnacentral:rRNA from 1 species